rnacentral:rRNA from 1 species
CCUACGGGAGGCAGCAGUGAGGAAUAUUGGUCAAUGGGCGCGAGCCUGAACCAGCCAAGUAGCGUGAAGGAUGACUGCCCUACGGGUUGUAAACUUCUUUUAUAACGGAAUAAAGUGAGGCACGUGUGCCUUUUUGUAUGUACUUUAUGAAUAAGGAUCGGCUAACUCCGUGCCAGCAGCCGCGGUAAUACGGAGGAUCCGAGCGUUAUCCGGAUUUAUAGGGUUUGACGGGAGCGUAUAUGGGUUGUUAAGUCAGUUGUGAAAUUUUGCGGCUCAACCGUAAAAUUGCAAUUGAUACUGGCAGUCUGGAGUACAGUUGAGGUAGGCGGAAUUCGUGGUGUAGCGGUGAAAUGCUUAGAUAUCACGAAGAACUCCGAUGGCGAAGGCAGCUUACUAAACUGCCACUGACACUGAUGCGCGAAAGUGUGGGUAUCAAACAGGAUUAGAUACCCGAGUAGUC